GAAAUGCGAUAAGUAAUGUGAAUUGCAGAAUUCAGUGAAUCAUCGAAUCUUUGAACGCACAUUGCGCCCGUCAGCAUUCUGGCGGGCAUGCCUGUUCGAGCGUCAUUUCAACCCUCAGGACCCCCCUUUCGCGGGGAGGGACCUGGCGUUGGGGAUCGGCCCGCCCCCCGUGGCGGCGCCGUCCCCGAAAUCUAGAGGCGGUCUCGCUGCAGCCUCCCCUGCGUAGUAGUUACAACCUCGCAUCGGAGCGCGGCGCGGCCACGCCGUAAAACCCCCGACUUUCUGAACGUUGACCUCGGAUCAGGUAGGAAUACCCGCUGAACUUAAGC
rnacentral:misc_RNA from 1 species